rfam:Pristionchus pacificus strain PS312 contig4019, whole genome shotgun sequence.
CAAACGGCCCUCUUUAGGGCCGCACACCUAUUCCAAACCAAGUUG